UAUUAAAAAAUUUAUCCAAUUGUUCUAUUAAAAAUUGGCGUAAUUGACAAAAUAAUCGAAUAGUAACAUAUGACGUGAGACGUUUAUCUUAUGCUGAUGUGACGUGAGACGUUUAUCUAAUGCUGAUGUACAAACACCCAUUUUUAACAGUCGAAAUGGAUGAAAUUUUUAACA
rnacentral:pre_miRNA from 1 species